rnacentral:rRNA from 1 species
GAUCAUGGCUCAGGAUGAACGCUGGCGGCGUGCUUAACACAUGCAAGUCGAACGAACCUUGGGGAACAGAUUACUUCGGUUUGAAGUUCCCCGCUGGUUAGUGGCGGACGGGUGAGUAACGCGUGGGUAACCUGCCGUAUGCAGGGGGAUAACAGUUAGAAAUGACUGCUAAUACCGCAUAAGCGCACAGUAUCGCAUGAUACAGUGUGAAAAACGAUAGUGGCAUACGAUGGACCCGCGUCUGAUUAGCUAGUUGGCGGGUAACGGCCCACCAAGGCGACGAUCAGUAGCCGGCCUGAGAGGGUGAACGGCCACAUUGGAACUGAGACACGGUCCAAACUCCUACGGGAGGCAGCAGUGGGGGAUAUUGCACAAUGGGGGAAACCCUGAUGCAGCGACGCCGCGUGAGUGUAGAAGUAUUUCGGUAUGUAAAGCUCUAUCAGCAGGAAAGAUAAUGACGGUACCUGACUAAGAAGCACCGGCUAAAUACGUG